AUGGCUAUUAUUGAAGCAUUGGAUAGAACACCGGCUUCUGUUACUGGGUCUUCUCCUGCAGUCAGUCCAGAAAACUUCAUCAAAUGUAUGAUGAAGUUUUAUCGGCACUGGAAGGAGGAUGGGACUGAGAUAUGGGGAUCUUCGUGUGCAAUUGCUGUUGCUACUCCUCCACCCUCUGAAGAUAUUCGAUAUCAGAAAUCAUUAGCCUUGAGCACGUGGUUUUUUGGUCAUCAGUUCCCAGAAACUAUAAUGGUCUUUCUCAGUAGGCAGAUUCAUUUCCUGUGCAGCCAGAAGGACAGUGAUGUGCUUAAACCUUUGAAGAUGCUUGUUUCUAAAGAAGCCGAUGUUGAUAUCGUGUUGCAUAUUCUGAAAAAGGGCGAUGAUGGAUCUGACUUAAUGCCUGAAGGCAAGUUUCUUGAAGCAUGGUCUGAAAAGCUGCACAGAUCAAGGUUAAAGCUUUUUGAUGUGUCAAGUGGCAUCUCUGAACUUCUUGCUGUGAAAGAUGUCACCGAGAUUAUGUAUGUGAAGAAGGCUGCAUUUUUGGCUGCUUCGGUUAUGCGGAAGUAUGUAGUUUCUAAGGUGGAGAAGAUCAUAGAGGAUGAAAAGAAGAUAGCACAUUCAAAGCUGAUGGUUCUGACAGAGAAGAUACUACUUUCCCCAAUGAAUGUAGAUGUUAAACUGAAGGCAGAUAAUGUUGACAUAUGCUACCCACCCGUUUUUCAAAGUGGAGGCAAGUAUGACCUUAGGCCAUCUGCUUCUAGCAAUGAUGAUGAUCUGCACUAUGAUUCUGGAAGCGUCAUCAUCUGUGCUCUGGGAGCCAAGUACAGUGGCUACUGCUCAAAUGUCGCAAGAACCUUCCUGAUUGAUUGUAAUGCAGAAAAAUGCAAUGCAUAUAAAGUCCUCAGUCAGGCGCAUGAUGCUGCUAUUGCUGCUUUGACACCAGGUAGCAAGUGUUGUUCCAGUUACCAGGCUGCAGUUACUGUGAUCAGGGACAAAGCUCCUGAACUAAUUCCUUUCCUUACCAAGUCAGCUGGAACAGGAAUGGGCAUCGAGUUCCGUGAAUCUUGGCUGUCCUUGAGUGAGAAAAAUGACCGGACGCUAAAGGAAGGGAUGAUUUUCAAUGUUUCACUUGGGUUUCAAAACCUUAUAGACAAGACCAACAAUGAGAAGACCAAGGAAUUCUCCCUAUGGCUGGCUGACACUGUUCUGGUCUGCAAGGAAAAUCCAAAAGUCUUGACAUCUUUUAUCUCCAAGGCUGACAGCGAUGCCUUCUACUUAUUUGAUGAGGAAAAUGCAGGAUUAGCUGCUGUGAAACAAGCUCCGAAAGCAAAUGUUUUGGUCCCGGUUAAACCAGUGCUAAAUCCAUUGAGAGAAAAUCUGCGAUCCCAUAGCAGGACACCUAAGGAGGACCUUAGGAAACAGCUUCAGUCAGAAAUCUUAAAGAAGAAAACUAGUGAGGCAGCAGUGAGAAGUGACGUUGCUGAUCAUAAGUUGUUGGAGGGACUUGGUCGUUCCAGAGCUAUGGAUGAACUGGUUGCAUAUAAGAAUGCAAAUGAUGUGCCUGUUUCCAAUCGACUGGACAUUAUUCAGGUGGACAAACAGAAUGAGGCUAUCCUGUUACCAAUAUAUGGAGUUACUGUUCCCUUUCAUGUUUGUACCAUAAAAAAAGCAGAAAUUCGUGGGGAAAGCAGCAGUGGAGUUUAUGUCAGCAUUACAUUUAAUGUUCCUGGCACUGCUUCUGGUCUUCAAGAUCCCCGCUUGCAGAACCUUAUUUUUUUGAAAGCAGUCACCUUCCUCUCAAAAAACAGAAGUCAUGCUGAAGAGGUUAUUAAAUCGGUGAAGACUGUUCAAAAAGGAGUCACUGAAAGAGCUAGGAGAGCGAGCUUGGUUAAGGGAUGGAUUCAGUUUCCUGAUUUGUGGAUACGGCCAUCAUUUGGUGGCUGUGGGCGGAAGGUCGCUGGAACUUUGGUGGCCCAUGUCAAUGGUUUUCAAUAUUCUGCAUCGAAAACUGAAAAGGUGGAUAUUAUGUUCAGCAACAUAAAACAUGCCUUCUUCCAGCCAGCUGAGAGAGACAUGAUAACGCUGCUCCACUUCCAUCUGUACAAUGAAAUCAUGGUGGGCAACAAGAAGACUAGAGAUGUGCAGUUCUACACUGAAGUGAUGGAUGUUGUGGACUCGGUUGGAGGUCUUAAGCGCUGUUCAGCACGGGAUCCUGAUGAGAUUGAGGAAGAGCAGCGCGACAGGGCACGAAGGAAGAAAAUAAAUGGACAGUUUGAGCUGUUUGUGAAAAGGGUUGUUUCUGUUUGGUCCCAGCCAAGAUUUCAGCAGCUCGGCUUACAUUUUGAAAGGCCAUCACAGAAGCUUGGCUUCAAUGGAGUCCAUGGCAGAACAACUUGUUUUAUAGUUCCUACUCCAAGUUGCCUGGUGCAGCUUGUUGAAUCACCGUUUCUUGUGACUUCGCUGAGGGAGGUCGAGAUAGUAUGCUUGGAAAGGGUGGCCCUGGGGCAGAAAUCCUUUGACAUGGUGUUUGUAUUUCAAGAUUUAAAGCGAGAUGUUGUCCGCAUAGAGGUCAUUCCAAUGGCAUCUCUUGAUAAGAUCAAAGAUUGGCUUAAUGACUGCAACUUGAAGUACUAUGAAUCGAAGCUGAACCUUAACUGGCGAAUGGUCCUCAAGAAGCUGGACGAGCCAGGUUGUGACACAAAUGACAGGUGGGAAUUCUUGAAUCCAGAUGCUACUGACUCAGAUUCAGAGGAUUCCGAGACAGACGAUGAUAAGUACGAACCUUCUGAUGCGGAGUCAGCCUCUGAUUCGGAUGAUGAAGACAGCGACAGCGAAUCAGUGGUGGAUUCUGGCGAGGAUGAGGCUGUCUCGGCUGGCUCAGACGACGACGACGACGCUGCCGAGUCAUGGGACGAGAUGGAGCGCAAGGCGAGGGAUGCCGACAUGGAGAUGGGCAGCGAAGACGACAGCGAAGACGAGAGGCAGCGGCGGAGGGAGAAAGCAAAACGGCAGUUGAAUCCCCAGCAGUCCAAGGGUGUUCCCCAGAAGAGGCAGCGUGUCAACUGA
rnacentral:rRNA from 1 species